rnacentral:piRNA from 1 species
CCAACUGGGGAGAAGUCUGAUGC